AUAAAAAUGCAGCAAAAGACGGACUUUUAAUCCGUAGGUCGCGAGUUCGAAUCUCGUUAAGCCCACCA
rnacentral:tRNA from 1 species